rnacentral:rRNA from 1 species
AUUGAACGCUGGCGGCAGGCCUAACACAUGCAAGUCGAACGAGUGGCGGACGGGUGAGUAAUGUCUGGGAAACUGCCUGAUGGAGGGGGAUAACUACUGGAAACGGUAGAUAAUACCGCAUACCAUCAGAUGUGCCCAGAUGGUAUUAGCUAGGUGGUGGGGUAACGGCUCACCCAGGCGACGAUCCCUAGCUGGUCUGCGAGGAUGACCAGCCACACUGGAACUGAGACAGGGUCCAGACUCCUACGGGAGGCAGCAGUGUGGAAUAUUGGACAAUGGGCGCAAGCCUGAUGCAGCCAUGCCGCGUGUAUGAAGAAGGCCUUCGGGUUGUAAAGUACUUUCAGCUGGGAGGCGUUACCCGCAGAGGAAGCACCGGCUAACUCCGUGCCAGCAGCCGCGGUAAUUC